rnacentral:rRNA from 1 species
CCUGACGCAGCGACGCCGCGUGUGCGAUGAAGGCCUUCGGGUUGUAAAGCACUUUUAGAGAGGAUGAGGAAGGACAGUACUCUCUGAAUAAGCCUCGGCUAACUACGUGCCAGCAGCCGCGGUAAAACGUAGGAGGCGAGCGUUAUCCGGAUUUACUGGGCGUAAAGCGCGUGUAGGCGGUUUGGUAAGUUGGAUGUGAAAGCUCCUGGCUUAACUGGGAGAGGUCGUUCAAAACUACCAGACUUGAGAGUGGUAGAGGGAGGUGGAAUUCCGGGUGUAGUGGUGAAAUGCGUAGAUAUCCGGAGGAACACCAGUGGCGAAAGCGGCCUCCUGGACCACUUCUGACGCUCAGACGCGAAAGCUAAGGUAGCAAACGGGAUUAGAGACCCCGGUAGUCUUAGCUGUAAACUAUGUGAACUUGGCGUCGGUGGGUUCAAAUCCAUCGGUGCCGAAGCUAACGCGAUAAGUUCACCGCCUGGGGACUACGGCCGCAAGGUUAAAACUCAAAGGAAUUGACGG